CAAGGCAUAGCUAAGCAAGUCAAAGCAUCUCCCUUACACUGAGAAGACGUCUAUGCAAAUUGGACUACCUUGA